UUUAAAUGCAUGUAUUAACAAAUUUGGAAUAAAUAAGUAUAAAGUAGAUCCAAAUAGACCGUUAUGAUACUAGUUAAAAUUGGUUAAAUCCAUGUACAUUAGAUAUAUGAUCACUUUGUCUUAGUAAUUCUAAAGCGUACCCUUAAAAGCUCUGAGUAAAUGCAAUCAAUUUCUGAAUCAUAUAAUGUCAUGUUAUAUAAUGAUUUUAUUCCAUGUGACACAAAUCCUUGUGAUACAUGCAAUGUAUAAUUGACAAGAAAUGUGAUUUUGCAAAGGAACAUGAUUCUAUUCCUGUCGUAUAAUUUCUGUCCUGAGUAGUGUGAGAAGAGAAGAAAAAGAAAAAAAAAAGAAAUCUUUGACACAGGAAAAUAAUUAAAGAACCCCACAGGCCACAGGCCACAGCUAGCUACCACAAUUUGCACAGCCAAAAUUGUAUUCCCUUCAUCAAUUAGUACAAAUAUUCGUGCAAUAUUCUUAAUUUAUUCGUAUACUAGAUUUAUAGCUAAAAUAGGUAGACUUAAUCAUUUAUACGUAUCUGUUUAUCAUGAAAGAAGCAUAAUAUAUAUUAAUUUUUUAACAUUACUAUAGUUUUUCAGUGGCAUGUAUACAUACAUAUAAUAUCUUAACAUCAUCAUAAAUUAUAAAGAAAAGAAAAACAGUAUGAGUGGGGGACAUGUGGGGAUCAUGAAAAUAACAUAAGACCCGAUGAGGCAGACAAUUGUAAUGUUUCCAUGUCUCCAUUAAUUUCUGUGAAAUUUUAAGCAUCCAUAGGGAAUUCAAUAUCAGACAUAUAUGAAAGACAAAAUCUUUCAAGUGCAAUUUGUAAAAUUCCAUCAUAAUCUCCCUGUCGAAAACAUCACACUUCAGGCUGAGAAUAGAGAGUAUAAUAAUUUAUAAAAUGGGAGAAUAAUAUCCAUUAAUAACUUGAUUCAAUUAGCAGUAACCUGAGUUUCGAGCCUUAUUUUAUUUUAACUUAAAUAUUAGCUGCCAUAUAUUUACACCUCGUGAUUGUGUGAUCCUAUCCAUUCAAAUCCCAACAUGAAGACAGUAGAAAUGUGAGUCACUGUUUGACAAUUGACAUAGCCUAUCCACCUUUCUUUUUAUGUGUUUUUUCUUCUUCUUUAAAUUUAUGUAUGAUAACAGCAAAAAAUAAUUAGGAAAGACUUGCUUAUUAAGAAAUUAAAAUUGAACUUGGGAAAUUUACAGAACCUUUUUAUCUUUUUUUUUUUCUUUUUUUCUGGAUAACUCAAGAUUGAAAUUUGAAUUUUGUGAUAUAUAAUUCUAAUAAAUAGUUCUGGAUAACAUCUUCUUUUUUUUUAUAGAAAGGAUAAUAUAUUGAAAUUCUUAAGGACAAGGUUGAAAACUUAUAUGGUCUCAAAACUUGAGAAUCUUAAAAACUCAAAGCCCUAACAAAUUAAAGAAUAUAUUUUUUUUUUUCUUUUUGACAUUAGUGAGGUUUGAAUCCUAAAAAUUUAUUUUCUGAGUGGUCUAACCUUACCAUUAGACAAAUUAAAACAACAAAAUCAUGAGUUUAUAUACAUAGAAUGAAUUUGAUACAUUGUAAUUAUAAUAAUAAUUGUAAUCCUGAAAAACGUUAUGUUAUAUCUGGCUGUCUACAGUCUACAGGAAUGGAGAAUUAUAAUCAUGAGUUUCCAUGAAUUGGCAGUGGGGUCAAGUACCUAUAUGCAUGGAACUUGGAAGGGAUGAAAAUAGGGGAAAAUUUGGCGAAGAAUUUCUGGAAUCGGAAAAUGGAAACAAGAAUAGUACAAAGAUUAGGCACAAGACUGACCAUAUCAACCCUUUUAGAGAUCAACAAGGGAAGUUUUAUAUAUAUAUAUAUAUAUAUAUAUAUAUAUAUAUAUAGAGAGAGAGAGAGAGAGAAGAAAAUUGGGGAUUCAACUUGACAUGAUUUAACAAACUUGCAAUAUUACAUUUUAUUUUUUCUUUUCCUUGCAAUUUAUAUAUGUAUGUAUGUAUGCAGUAUAGUUUGUGCGGGGCGUUCCCUUCCAAGGAAGGACUUUUCUCUCUAGUGGGCUACCUAACUAGCACUUGAGGAACAGACAUGACUAGCACGCCAUACUUCUUCUCUUCUUCACUAUAUAUGUACGUUCGUAAUUUCACAUGCUGGAUCAAGUCCCAUGUAUGUGGUCUAUCUCAUAAUUGAUAUCCACACCAGAUUACAAGCUAAAGCUGAUUAAAAGAAAUUGUCAAAGGAACCAAAGGCUCCGUGAUUUUGGAAGCCAAAGGCAAAUGGUCUAGAAUGGCAGCACAGGUCUAAGGCAAGACUUGAAGGGGUUAAUUAGAGUUUUGAAAAAUGAAAGACCCUCUUGCGUCACAUUGCUGUCCACAUUCAUCAUUGCUUACGUGUAUAAAUAAGAUUUUUCAAGAAUAAAAUAAAGAAGUGGCACCAACAGCAUGAUCAGUUGAAAAGGGGAUUUGCUAUAUAUUAAUAAUAAUAAUAAUAAUAAUAAUAAUGAUAAUUAUAUGUUUAUGGGGAUA